GCUCCUAUAGCUCAGAUGGUAGAGCAAUUGAUUCGUAAUCAAUAGGUCGCAGGUUCGACUCCUGUUGGGAGCACCA
rnacentral:tRNA from 1 species